rnacentral:rRNA from 1 species
GAUGAACGCUAGCGGCAGGCCUAAUACAUGCAAGUCGGACGGGAUCCAUCGGAGAGCUUGCUCGAAGAUGGUGAGAGUGGCGCACGGGUGCGUAACGCGUGAGCAACCUACCUCUAUCAGGGGGAUAGCCUCUCGAAAGCGAGAUUAACACCGCAUAAUAUAAUCUUCCGGCAUCGUUAGAUUAUUAAAUAUUUAUAGGAUAGAGAUGGGCUCGCGUGGCAUUAGCUAGUUGGUAAGGUAACGGCUUACCAAGGCGACGAUGUCUAGGGGCUCUGAGAGGAGAAUCCCCCACACUGGUACUGAGACACGGACCAGACUCCUACGGGAGGCAGCAGUAAGGAAUAUUGGUCAAUGGGCGGAAGCCUGAACCAGCCAUGCCGCGUGCAGGACGACUGCCCUAUGGGUUGUAAACUGCUUUUGUCCAGGAAUAAACCUAAAUACGUGUAUUUAGCUGAAUGUACUGGAAGAAUAAGGAUCGGCUAACUUCGUGCCAGCAGCCGCAGUAAAAC